GGGGCAGCGGGGAGGAAGCUUGCUUUCUCCGCCGGCGACCGGCGCACGGGUGAGUAACACGUAUGCAACCUGCCCCUGUCAGGGGGACAACCCGCCGAAAGGCGGGCUAAACCCGCGUACAUGCCACCGGGGCAUCCCGGAGGCAGGAAAGGCUUCGGCCGGACAGGGAUGGGCAUGCGGCGCAUUAGGCAGUAGGCGGGGUAACGGCCCACCUAACCGACGAUGCGUAGGGGUUCUGAGAGGAAGGUCCCCCACACUGGUACUGAGACACGGACCAGACUCCUACGGGAGGCAGCAGUGAGGAAUAUUGGUCAAUGGUCGGGAGACUGAACCAGCCAAGCCGCGUGAGGGAGGAAGGUACAGAGUAUCGUAAACCUCUUUUGUCAGGGAACAAAGGCGGGGACGUGUCCCCGGAUGAGUGUACCUGAAGAAAAAGCAUCGGCUAACUCCGUGCCAGCAGCCGCGGUAAUACGGAGGAUGCGAGCGUUAUCCGGAUUUAUUGGGUUUAAAGGGUGCGCAGGCGGUCUGUUAAGUCAGCGGUCAAAGCCCGGGGCUCAACCCCGGCCCGCCGUUGAAACUGGCAGUCUCGAGUUGGAGAGAAGUAUGCGGAAUGCGCGGUGUAGCGGUGAAAUGCAUAAAUAUCGCGCAGAACUCCCAAUGCGAAGGCAGCAUGCCGGCUCCACACUGACGUUGAGGCAUGAAAGCGUGGGUAUCGAACAGGAUUAGAUACCCUGGUAGUCCACGCAGUAAACGAUGAAUGCUGGCUGUCCGGGGGGACUGACCCCUGGGUGGCGAAGCGAAAGCGAUAAGCAUUCCACCUGGGGAGUACGCCGGCAACGGUGAAACUCAAAGGAAUUGACGGGGGCCCGCACAAGCGGAGGAACAUGUGGUUUAAUUUGAUGAUACGCGAGGAACCUUACCCGGGCUCAAACGGGGAGUGGCGCAGGCAGAGACGCCUGUUUCCCACGGGACACUCCCCGAGGUGCUGCAUGGUUGUCGUCAGCUCGUGCCGUGAGGUGUCGGCUUAAGUGCCAUAACGAGCGCAACCCCCGCGUGCAGUUGCUAACAGUCAACGCUGAGGACUCUGCACGGACUGCCGGCGCAAGCCGCGAGGAAGGCGGGGAUGACGUCAAAUCAGCACGGCCCUUACGUCCGGGGCGACACACGUGUUACAAUGGGUGGUACAGCGGGAAGCCAGGCGGCGACGCCGAGCGGAACCCGAAAUCCACUCUCAGUUCGGAUCGGAGUCUGCAACCCGACUCCGUGAAGCUGGAUUCGCUAGUAAUCG
rnacentral:rRNA from 1 species